CAGCCGCCGCGGGAAUACGGAGGGCGCGAGCGUUACCCGGAUUUACUGGGCGUAAAGGGCGUGUAGGCGGCCUGGGGCGUCCCAUGUGAAAGGCCACGGCUCAACCGUGGAGGAGCGUGGGAUACGCUCAGGCUAGAGGGUGGGAGAGGGUGGUGGAAUUCCCGGAGUAGCGGUGAAAUGCGCAGAUACCGGGAGGAACGCCGAUGGCGAAGGCAGCCACCUGGUCCACUUCUGACGCUGAGGCGCGAAAGCGUGGGGAGCAAACCGGAUUAGAUACCCGCGUAGUCCCUGUCUCUUAUAC
rnacentral:rRNA from 1 species